rnacentral:rRNA from 1 species
UACAGAGGGGGCAAGCGUUACUCGGAAUUAUUGGGCGUAAAGGGCGCGUAGGCGGCCUGGCAAGUGGAAGGUGAAAUCCCUCGGCUUAACCGAGGAACUGCCCUCCAAACUGCUUGGCUUGAGUCCGGGAGAGGUGAGUGGAAUUCCCAGUGUAGCGGUGAAAUGCGUAGAUAUUGGGAGGAACACCAGUGGCGAAGGCGGCUCACUGGACCGGAACUGACGCUGAGGCGCGAAAGCUAGGGGAGCGAACGGG